rnacentral:rRNA from 1 species
CGCGGCCUAUCAGCUUGUUGGUGAGGUAACGGCUCACCAAGGCAUCGACGGGUAGCUGGUCUGAGAGGACGAUCAGCCACACUGGGACUGAGACACGGCCCAGACUCCUACGGGAGGCAGCAGUAGGGAAUCUUGCGCAAUGGGCGAAAGCCUGACGCAGCAACGCCGCGUGGGGGAUGAAUGCCUUCGGGUUGUAAACCCCUUUCAGCAGGGACGAAAAUGACGGUACCUGCAGAAGAAGCUCCGGCCAACUACGUGCCAGCAGCCGCGGUAAUACGUAGGGAGCGAGCGUUGUCCGGAAUUAUUGGGCGUAAAGAGCUCGUAGGCGGUUCAGUAAGUCGGGUGUGAAAACUCAAGGCUCAACCUUGAGACGCCACUCGAUACUGCUGUGACUUGAGUCCGGUAGAGGAGUGUGGAAUUCCUGGUGUAGCGAUGAAAUGCGCAGAUAUCAGGAGGAACACCAGCGGCGAAGGCGGCACUCUGGGCCGGUACUGACGCUGAGGAGCGAAAGCAUGGGGAGCAAACAGGAUUAGAUACCCUGGUAGUCCAUGCCGUAAACGUUGGGCACUAGGUAUGGGAUCAUAUCAACGGAUUCCGUGCCGUAGCUAACGCAUUAAGUGCCCCGCCUGGGGAGUACGG